rnacentral:rRNA from 1 species
UACAGAGGGUGCGAGCGUUAAUCGGAAUUACUGGGCGUAAAGCGUGCGCAGGCGGUCUGUUAAGACAGAUGUGAAAUCCCCGGGCUUAACCUGGGAACUGCAUUUGUGACUGGCAGGCUAGAGUAUGGCAGAGGGGGGUAGAAUUCCACGUGUAGCAGUGAAAUGCGUAGAGAUGUGGAGGAAUACCGAUGGCGAAGGCAGCCCCCUGGGCCAAUACUGACGCUCAUGCACGAAAGCGUGGGUGAGCAAACAGGGAUUAAGA